rnacentral:rRNA from 1 species
GCCCUUGAGUUUGAUCCUGGCUCAGAACGAACGCUGGCGGCAGGCCUAACACAUGCAAGUCGAACGAAGUCUUCGGACUUAGUGGCAGACGGGUGAGUAACGCGUGGGAACCUACCUGGAGGUUCGGAAUAACUCGGGGAAACUCGGGCUGAUACCGGAUACGCCCUUACGGGGAAAGAUUUAUCGCCUUUAGAUGGGCCCGCGUUGGAUUAGCUUGUUGGUGAGGUAAAAGCUCACCAAGGCGACGAUCCAUAGCUGGUCUGAGAGGAUGAUCAGCCACACUGGGACUGAGACACGGCCCAGACUCCUACGGGAGGCAGCAGUGAGGAAUAUUCGGCAAUGGGCGCAAGCCUGACCGAGCCAUGCCGCGUGAGUGAAGAAGGCCCUAGGGUUGUAAAAGCUCUUUCACCGAUGAAGAUAAUGACGGUAGUCGGAGAAGAAGCCCCGGUUAACUUCGUGCCAGCAGCCGGGUAAUACGGAAGGGGGCUAGCGUUGUUCGGAAUUACUGGGCGUAAAGGGGCACAGUAGGCGGAUUGUUAGGUCAGGGGUGAAAUCCCCGGGGGCUCAAACCCCCGGGAAACUUGCUUCUGAUUACUGGGCAAUCUUCGAAGUUCGAGAGAGGUGAGUGGAAAUUCCCGAGUUGUAAAGGUGGAAAAUUCGUAGAUAUUCCGGAGGGAACACCCAGUGGGAAAGGCGGGUCACUGGGUCCGAACUGAACGCUUGAAGGUGCGAAAGCGUGGGAGCAACCAGGGUU